rnacentral:rRNA from 1 species
CCUACGGGUGACAGCAGUGAGGAAUAUUGGUCAAUGGGCGCGAGCCUGAACCAGCCAAGUAGCGUGAAGGAUGACUGCCCUACGGGUUGUAAACUUCUUUUAUAAAGGAAUAAAGUGAGGCACGUGUGCAUUUUUGUAUGUACUUUAUGAAUACGGAUAGGCUAACUCCGUGCAAGCAGCCGCGGUAACACGGAGGAUCUGAGAGUUAUCCGGAUUUAUUGGGUUUAAAGGGAGCGUAGAUGGGUUGUUAAGUCAGUUGCGAAAGUUUGCGGCUCAACCGUAAAAUUGCAAUUGAUACUGGCAGUCUUGAGUACAGUUGAGGUAGGCGGAAUUCGUGGUGUAGCGGUGAAAUGCUGAGAUAUCACGAAGAACUCCGAUUGCGAAGGCAGCUUACUAAACUGCCACUGACAUUGAUGCUCGAAAGUGUGGGUAUCAAACAGGAUUAGAUACCCUUGUAGUC